ensembl:lncRNA
UAAUCUUCCUGAAAUGAGCUUUAGUUAAUGUACAUGGCACUGGUAUUGCAUUAAUGCAGCUGCACCCAUAGAGGUGAUGGCUGAUGCAUUGCAUGCACAGUGUAAGGUCCCCACUGGUGCUGCAGGAUGCUGGGGCCACUUUGAGUGUGAUCGUGGAACUCAGCCUUCCCCUACUGCUCCUGCCACAAGAGUUCUGCUGCUGUUAAGGCAAAAGUACAAAAGUAUUUCUCACAGGAGGGAAGAAUUCAGGCAACAUUUCAGCAAGGAGGCAAUGAAAUGUAUGAUAAAAAAAGAUAGGAGCAAUACUUGACUUUGGUGUAACCCCUGUGCAAUCAUUGUCUCUCACUUCGGAUAAGAUUCAUCUGGUUGGCUGGAAGAGGCUGCUGACAAGCACGUGCACAGCAGCUGAAGAAACCUCACCUUUGUAAAGUGCUUUUAAAUGAAGGAUUUUAGAAGGACAAUGGCAAAAGCUGUCAUGAAACUCCAUAUGGAAAACCAGUUCUUCUUUAGGUCAUACAAGAAGAGAGACUAAUCUAGGCUGAACAGCAACCAGUUACAACACAGUUUAAAUGUUAAAGAAGAAAUUAUUUGAUUUCAAGUAGAAUGGCUGAGUUCUGAAACAGCAGUUUCGCAGAAUGUAGGGAAAAAAUUUGGCUGCAUUUAGGUUCUAUCAUCGUCACCACAUGAGGGGAGAGGAAGUUAAGCCGCAAAGUUGACACGCUUUCAUUUGGUGUUUUGCUGAUCUUCAACCAAGGCAGCCUGAUGCAAAUGCUAAUAAUUCUGCAUGAUGAUUAUACUUCCAAUGAAACUUCUUUUAACAGUGUGUUUUGGCUGCUUAGCUACAGGUUCCAAUAAUUCAAGAGUCAUCCAAACACCAACAAAUAUAAAUCUGUUAGUUGGAGACAAUACUGAAAUCACUUGUAUUUGGGAAAAAGCUAUUGAGAGGUGUAGAGUACACUGGUAUUUUGUUAAUAAAGUGAACAUCAGUAAAACUAUAUCGUCAAAACUUUUCUAUUCAUCCAACAUCACCCGUGAAAACAAGGAUGUGCUAGUCAUCAAAUCUGCCAAUGUAAAUGACACUGGAUUUUACUACUGUGAGAUAAUUAUUGAAAUACCUUGCUUUAAGAAACUACGUGGAAAUGGGACAACAGUGAUUGUUGAAGAGAAAGUACAUCACAGAGGUUUGGAAGCAUGGGCCAUCCUUCCUGUUUUGGUGGCAAUGGGAAGCGUAUAUCUUUGCUACAAGAAGAAACAGCUCUCCACCCUAUCUGGUGCUGCACAGAUUCCUGUGCUGACAGAAAGGCAAGAGCAGGAGCAGAGAAUUGAGGUGGAAGAGCUUCACGGGAGAAAUGAAUCCACCAGGGAAGCAGCUGAGGCAAACUCAUCAUCUAAUUCUGCUGAAUGGGCCGUGUGUAAGCUUUAUGAAUCACUUGAAAUUUUUUGCAAUGACGCAAGAGGAAAAGAUGACAAAUCCACUGUGACUAUUGUAUCUAAUGAGCAAAUCCCACAGACUAGGGCAGCUGAAAAGUCUAGAAUGAGACAAGGAUCUGCCAUCUAGAUCUGCCAAGGUAGAUCUGCCAUCUACCUUGACAUUCAGAACUAAACAAAAUAUGGCUAAAUAACUAUGAAACUGAAAAAUAUGAUAAUUUGCUGCUGCAAGAUGGAUUACGUGUUUCCUGUCAAAGGCUUGUCAGUGGGACAAUAUGCAAGAAAAAAGUUGACUCUCAGUAGUUUUUGAAUGUUUUGUCACUAACAAAGCACUCUAAGGAGUCUCUGAAUUUGAAGGAUGUAAUUUAGAAGACUACCUUCAGCUCUUCCUCUGGUGUCCAGAAAUACUGUGUUUACCAUACUUUGAAAAAAACUUCUGAACUGAGCAACAUUCUUCAACACAAGCAUUUCUUCAGGAAGCCCUGAUGCAUGAACAGGAGAUGGUAGAGAAAACAAUGCAUGGAGUCUGAGCUCUGAAACUGUCGUCAGUUCUGAACACAUUAUAGAAAGAAGUAUGUCAGAAAGGAUUAUAUUCCUGUGGAAAGGGACUAUUAGUGUUAAUUCAUUCACAAACUAGGAAAAGUCUGCCAGAGAAAGAAGUCUCCUACACACAAUGAAAUUCUAGAUUUAAAUGAAGCUACAUUAUAGAGAAUCUAUAAUUAUUAUCUAACUGGUUGAGGAAGGCUGCUUGGAAGAGAUAGGGGUGAUAAUGCUUGUUCCACUUUUGCCAGCUUUAAAACCUUUUUUAAAAUCACUGAAGAAAAACCAAAGUUGAAAAAAUGAAGGAGAACCUGGCUUCCAAG